GGACCAUCCAGGCAGAAUGACAGGCAGAGUUGACCAAUGGGACCAUCCAGGCAGAAUGACAGGCAGAGUUGACCAAUGAGACCAUCCAGGCAGAAUGACAGGCAGAGUUGACCAAUGAGACCAUCCAGUCAGAAUGACAGGCAGAGUUGACCAAUGAGACCAUCCAGUCAGAAUGACUGGCAGAGUUGACCAAUGAGACCAUCCAGUCAGAAUGACAGGCAGAGUUGACCAAUGAGACCAUCCAGUUAGAAUGACAGGCAGAGUUGACCAAUGAGACCAUCCAGUCAGAAUGACAGGCAGAGUUGACCAAUGAGACCAUCCAGUCAGAAUGACAGGCAGAGUUGACCAAUGAGACCAUCCAGGCAGAAUGACAGGUAGAGUUGACCAAUGAGACCAUCCAGGCAGAAUGACAGGCAGAGUUGACCAAUGAGACCAUCCAGUCAGAAUGACAGGCAGAGUUGACCAAUGAGACCAUCCAGUCAGAAUGACAGGCAGAGUUGACCAAUGAGACCAUCCAGUCAGAAUGACAGGCAGAGUUGACCAAUGGGACCAUCCAGUCAGAAUGACAGGCAGAGUUGACCAAUGAGACCAUCCAGGCAGAAUGACAGGCAGAGUUGACCAAUGAGACCAUCCAGGCAGAAUGACAGGCAGAGUUGACCAAUGAGACCAUCCAGUCAGAAUGACAGGCAGAGUUGACCAAUGAGACCAUCCAGUCAGAAUGACAGGCAGAGUUGACCAAUGAGACCAUCCAGUCACAAUGACAGGCAGAGUUGACCAAUGAGACCAUCCAGUCAGAAUGACAGGCAGAGUUGACCAAUGAGACCAUCCAGGCAGAAUGACAGGUAGAGUUGACCAAUGAGACCAUCCAGUCAGAAUGACAGGCAGAGUUGACCAAUGAGACCAUCCAGUCAGAAUGACAGGCAGAGUUGACCAAUGAGACCAUCCAGGCAGAAUGACAGGCAGAGUUGACCAAUGAGACCAUCCAGUCAGAAUGACAGGCAGAGUUGACCAAUGAGACCAUCCAGUCAGAAUGACAGGCAGAGUUGACCAAUGAGACCAUCCAGGCAGAAUGACAGGCAGAGUUGACCAAUGAGACCAUCCAGUCAGAAUGACAGGCAGUUGACUGAUGGGACCAUCCAGUCAGAAUGACAGGCAGAGUUGACCAAUGAGACCAUCCAGUCAGAAUGACAGGCAGAGUUGACCAAUGAGACCAUCCAGUCAGAAUGACAGGCAGUUGACUGAUGGGACCAUCCAGGCAGAAUGACAGGCAGAGUUGACCAAUGAGACCAUCCAGUCAGAAUGACAGGCAGAGUUGACCAAUGAGACCAUCCAGUCAGAAUGACAGGCAGUUGACUGAUGGGACCAUCCAGGCAGAAGGUAGAGUUGACCAAUGAGACCAUCCAGUCAGAAUGACAGGCAGAGUUGACCAAUGAGACCAUCCAGUCAGAAUGACAGGCAGUUGACUGAUGGGACCAUCCAGGCAGAAUGACAGGUAGAGUUGACCAAUGAGACCAUCCAGUCAGAAUGACAGGCAGAGUUGACCAAUGAGACCAUCCAGUCAGAAUGACAGGCAGUUGACUGAUGGGAUCAUCCAGGCAGAAUGACAGGUAGAGUUGACCAAUGAGACCAUCCAGUCAGAAUGACAGGCAGAGUUGACCAAUGAGACCAUCCAGUCAGAAUGACAGGCAGUUGACUGAUGGGACCAUCCAGGCAGAAUGACAGGUAGAGUUGACCAAUGAGACCAUCCAGUCAAAAUGACAGGCAGUUGACUGAUGGGACCAUCCAGGCAGAAUGACAGGUAGAGUUGACCAAUGAGACCAUCCAGUCAGAAUGACAGGCAGAGUUGACCAAUGAGACCAUCCAGUCAGAAUGACAGGCAGUUGACUGAUGGGACCAUCCAGGCAGAAUGACAGGUAGAGUUGACCAAUGAGACCAUCCAGUCAGAAUGACAGGCAGAGUUGACCAAUGAGACCAUCCAGUCAGAAUGACAGGCAGAGUUGACCAAUGAGACCAUCCAGUCAGAAUGACAGGCAGUUGACUGAUGGGACCAGAAUGUCAGAAUGUAGCGUUGCCAUAUUAAAGCGAUGCCAGAGAUUCCUUCCCCCUAAAGUCUGUCCCAACCUUAAAAAGCUGACAGUUUUGCCAUUCUCUUUAUUUAUGUAUUUUUCUAAUGCUUUAUUUAUCUCUAUAUUUAUUUAUGUAUUUGGAAUAUUUAUUUCUAUGUUCAUUUAUUCAUGCUUUAUUUUUUAUUUUUCAAGAUCUCUGUACAUAGCUGAGCUGUGCAAUGUGAAUGCUGAAGUAAGCCCAUUUAAAUGUGCAGUACAUUUAGGCAAGUAGAUGGAUUCUCCAGCGUCCACCUCAGGGUGACAUUUGGUAAGGGCCUGGGUGUCCCACUUCUUCCUAAAGAGUCCUAAAGGGCACAUUCAGUUUAGUUGUGGCUCUUGGGGGAGAAAGGGAAGGAUUGAGAGCCAGGAUAGAAAUAAGAAUAUAUUCGUUUUUUCCUCCAUUUCUUCUUGGUAGAGGAAUCUCUCUUAGUUCAGACUCAGAUAGGAGGCCCAGGUGUUCUACAGGAGGCAUGUGUGCAAUACUGUGCUGGUGUGUCUGACUUGGUUUAACAUUGGAAACGGCCUGGUUGGGUAGUGUUACUAUAUGCCUACCACUGGACCGCUGUGUAUGUCUGUGUUUACAGAAGGAUCUGAUAAUUAUGCACAUUUUUUUUGCUUGUUACUGGAAAUAUUAAUUAAACAUUGGCCUUGCAGCUCAUAGUUAAUUCAAUAGGAGCAUUGACCGGUCAGCAAUGGACAAUUGAAUGUAUGUUGACUAGAAGGAAUAAAGAAAAGUGAAUUAA